rnacentral:lncRNA from 1 species
AGAAAUAUGACGUGGCUCGCCAGAUGCCACAGUGUAAUUUAAAAUCUAUUUUUUAAAAUCCAUGUCAUUUUUUUAUUCUCUUUUUUUAAUCCAUGUCAUUCUUUUAUAGAAAUCCAUCUUGGAAAUUAAACUUACAUACACUCUAAUAAUAAAUAAAAUGAAUGAAUAAAUAAACUUAAUCAAGGCGAGGAGCCCUACCCAAUUCUAAUUCCAAUUCCACCAGCAGCGCCGCGCACCGCCGCGCCUGAUGAGCCGGAGCCAGAGGAAGCUCCUCCUCUUAUUCCUGAAAUCUGAUGAGCCGGAGCCAGAGGAAGCUCCUCCUCUUCUUCCUGAAAUGCGUAAUCAUGGAAAUCGAGAUGUCUCUCUUCCUCUUCUACCUAGGGUUCGCCGCCAUCGUGCUCUUCCACUUCCUCUUCAUGUCCAACACCUUCAGCCGCCGCUGCACCCGCCUCCUCCACCCCGCCCCCGCCGAGGCGGAUCCCGAGCCGGACUUCAAGGCGCUUCUCCCUGGCGUCGCGUAUUGCCUCGUCGACUUGCCGUAGGCGUCGGACUGCGCGAUUUGCUUGGAUUAGCCCGAGUCGCCUUCUGCCUCUCUCUUCGUCCCAGUUCCCUCUCUAAUUCCUCACUGGAAACACACAAUUGAAGGGAAAAUGUCGAGCCCUAGCUCAUUCGUCUGAAAUUGUCGGUCACCGCCCCGGGCUUGACGCUGCCGCGCCUCCCUUGGCCGGAGAUCGCAGCACCACUAAAGUCCUCCCUCUGCUCAUGGAUCGAGCCCUAGCCUUUCGAUUCAGGUCAACAUCGACUCUGCUCUCUCUUCUCUUCUGUUCUAGAUUUCCGCCGCCGC